rnacentral:misc_RNA from 1 species
UCUCCGUUGGUGAACCAGCGGAGGGAUCAUUACAGGACUCGCAAGACUCCUUUACCCUGUGAACCUCACUACAAGCACGUUGCUUCGGCGGGUGUCCCGGCGGGGGUUUUCCCUCGCCGGGGCGCACAGCCCGCCGGCAGCCUACUAUACUCUGUCUCUUUGCGUUGGCAUCUCGAGAAAAAACAAACAAGUUAAAACUUUCAACAACGGAUCUCUUGGUUCUG